CUCUGGGUGGUGCAAAUGGUUAACACCCUUGGCUGCUAACCAAAACGCUGGAGGUUCAACUCCGCCCAGAGG
rnacentral:tRNA from 1 species